UGAGCAACCUGCCCUUGACCCUGGAAUAACAGCUGGAAACAGCUGCUAAUACCGGAUACGACCUCCGAUGGCAUCAUCUGGAGGUGGAAAGCUCCGACGGUCAAGGAUGGGCUCGCGGCCUAUCAGCUUGUUGGUGAGGUAACGGCUCACCAAGGCUUCGACGGGUAGCCGGCCUGGAGAGGGCCGACCGGCCACACGUGGGACUGAGAUACCGGCCCAGACUUCCCGUAGGGAGG
rnacentral:rRNA from 1 species